rnacentral:rRNA from 1 species
AAUGAACGCUGGCGGCGUGCUUAACACAUGCAAGUCGAGCGGGGAAAAGUAGCUUGCUACUGGACCUAGCGGCGGACGGGUGAGUAAUGCUUAGGAAUCUGCCUAUUAGUGGGGGACAACAUCUCGAAAGGCAUGCUAAUACCGCAUACGUCCUACGGGAGAAAGCAGGGGACCUUCGGGCCUUGCGCUAAUAGAUGAGCCUAAGUCGGAUUAGCUAGUUGGUGGGGUAAAGGCCUACCAAGGCGACGAUCGGUAGCGGGUCUGAGAGGAUGAUCCGCCACACUGGGACUGAGACACGGCCCAGACUCCUACGGGAGGCAGCAGUGGGGAAUAUUGGACAAUGGGGGGAACCCUGAUCCAGCCAUGCCGCGUGUGUGAAGAAGGCCUUUUGGUUGUAAAGCACUUUAAGCGAGGAGGAGGCUACCGAGAUUAAUACUCUUGGAUAGUGGACGUUACUCGCAGAAUAAGCACCGGCUAACUCUGUGCCAGCCGCCGCUGUAAAAC